CUCAUUCUCUCAUUUCAAUUGACACGAUUGGGCACGAGCAAUAGCUCUCUUCGAAACAGACUCAAAUAAAGUAGAGAGAGUGUGUGUCUCUCGUGCAAAGGAAUGAAGGUUAAUAUGACACCAAACGAUGCAUACACUUCAAAUUUAAACUUAAUCAGUUACUCACAUGAUCUUGUCAUCGUUUGAGUCUCGAAAUUGGUUUACGGGCGAUUGGAAAAAAUUAAAUAAAUGGUACACGUUUGGAUGUGACCAAUUCCAAUUAAUUUUUGAAGAAGAAAAUGCUCAAAAAUCAACACCAAAAACAACUGUAUGUCAGGCUAAUUGAUUGAUUGUGAGACGUUUUGGUAUAAUUUCGGUGAUUUGAAACUCGUUCAAUCGAUUCAGACACUCCGUUCGACUGGAAUAUUCGAGAUUUUUUGGUCGGGUUAUUGUUGCAAUUAUCAGUUCUUUUUUCGUUGAGUCAGAUACACGGUAAUUU